CUGACCGUAAACUAUGCCAUCUAACGAGUCGGUAUUGGUUAUUUAUUGCCAUUUUGACGAGUUACCCGGAAACGAAAGUCUUUCGGUUCCGGGGGGAGUAUGGUUGCAAAACUGAAACUUAAAGGGAUUGACGGAAAGUCACCACCAGAAAUGGAGCCUGCGGCUUAAUUUGACUCAACACGGGAAAACUCACCCGGUCUAGACACUAAAAUGAAUGACAGACUGAUAUAUCUCUCAAGAUAUAGUGCAAAGUGGUGCAUGGCCGUUCUUAGUUCGUGGAGUAAUCUGUCUGGUUAAUUUCGAUAACGAACGAGACUAGAACGUUGUUAUUUGCGGAUGGUAUASUAUAGUAUCAUACAAUCAUAGACGGAUAUGCAAAUUAAAUUGCCUGAAAACUGGCAAUAACAGGUCUGUUAUGCCCUUAGUUGUCCGGGGCCGCACGCGCGCUACAAUGGAAAUUGCAGUGCGUAUAUACUAUAUCGAAAGAUAUGGUUAAACGUGUCAAAUUAUUCCGCAUUCGGGAUCGGAGACUGUAAUUGUUUUCGUGAACGAGGAACUUCAAGUAAGUGUGUGUCAUUAGCGCACGCUG
rnacentral:rRNA from 1 species